rnacentral:rRNA from 1 species
GUAAGGAAUAUUGGUCAAUGGACGCAAGUCUGAACCAGCCAUGCCGCGUGGAGGAUGAAGGUCCUCUGGAUUGUAAACUUCUUUUAUCUGGGAAGAAACCCACGUUUUCUAAUGUGGUUGACGGUACCAGAUGAAUAAGCACCGGCUAACUCCGUGCCAGCAGCCGCGGUAAUACGGAGGGUGCAAGCGUUAUCCGGAUUCACUGGGUUUAAAGGGUGCGUAGGCGGAUUGGUAAGUCCGUGGUGAAAUCCCCGAGCUUAACUCGGGAACUGCCGUGGAUACUAUCAGUCUUGAAUAUCGUGGAGGUAAGCGGAAUAUGUCAUGUAGCGGUGAAAUGCUUAGAUAUGACAUAGAACACCAAUUGCGUAGGCAGCUUACUACACGAUCAUUGACGCUGAGGCACGAAAGCGUGGGGAGCAAACAGGAUUAGAUACCCCUGUAGUCC